GGACGGGUGGCCGAGUGGCUAAAGGCAGCAGACUGUAAAUCUGCCGGACUCAGUCCUACGGAGGUUCGAAUCCUUCCCCGUCCACCA
rnacentral:tRNA from 1 species